AUUGAACGCUGGCGGCAGGCUUAACACAUGCAAGUCGAGCGGAGCGAGGGUGCUUGCACCUUAGCUUAGCGGCGGACGGGUGAGUAAUGCUUAGGAAUUUGCCUAUUAGUGGGGGACAACAUUCCGAAAGGGAUGCUAAUACCGCAUACGCCCUACGGGGGAAAGCAGGGGAUCUUCGGAACUUGCGCUAAUAGAUGAGCCUAAUUCGGAUUAGCUAGUUGGUGGGGUAAAGGCCUACCAAGGCGACGAUCUGUAGCGGGUCUGAGAGGAUGAUCCGCCACACUGGGACUGAGACACGGCCCAGACUCCUACGGGAGGCAGCAGUGGGGAAUAUUGGACAAUGGGCGGAAGCCUGAUCCAGCCAUGCCGCGUGUGUGAAGAAGGCCUUUUGGUUGUAAAGCACUUUAAGCGAGGAGGAGGCUCUUAAGGUUAAUACCCUUGAUGAGUGGACGUUACUCGCAGAAUAAGCACCGGCUAACUCUGUGCCAGCAGCCGCCGUAAUAC
rnacentral:rRNA from 1 species